GACGAACGCUGGCGGCGUGCCUAACACAUGCAAGCCGAACGGAAGUAAGAGCUUCGGUUUUGCUUUAGUGGCGAACGGGUGAGUAACGCGUGAGGAACCUGCCUUUCAGAGGGGGACAACGGUUGGAAACGACUGCUAAUACCGCAUGACGCAUUUGGGUGGCAUCACCUGAAUGCCAAAGAUUUAUCGCUGAAAGAUGGCCUCGCGUCUGAUUAGCUAGUUGGUGAGGUAACGGCCCACCAAGGCGACGAUCGGUAGCCGGACUGAGAGGUUGAUCGGCCACAUUGGGACUGAGACACGGCCCAG
rnacentral:rRNA from 1 species